rnacentral:rRNA from 1 species
GACGAACGCUGGCGGCGUGCCUAAUACAUGCAAGUCGAGCGAGUCUGCCUUGAAGAUCGGAGUGCUUGCACUCUGUGAAACAAGAUACAGGCUAGCGGCGGACGGGUGAGUAACACGUGGGUAACCUGCCCAAGAGAUCGGGAUAACACCUGGAAACAGAUGCUAAUACCGGAUAACAACAGAUGGUGCCUAUCAACUGUUUAAAAGAUGGUUCUGCUAUCACUCUUGGAUGGACCUGCGGUGCAUUAGCUAGUUGGUAGGGUAACGGCCUACCAAGGCGAUGAUGCAUAGCCGAGUUGAGAGACUGAUCGGCCACAUUGGGACUGAGACACGGCCCAAACUCCUACGGGAGGCAGCAGUAGGGAAUCUUCCACAAUGGACGCAAGUCUGAUGGAGCAACGCCGCGUGAGUGAAGAAGGGUUUCGGCUCGUAAAGCUCUGUUGUUGGUGAAGAAGGACAGGGGUAGUAACUGACCUUUGUUUGACGGUAAUCAAUUAGAAAGUCACGGCUAACUACGUG